CCUACGGGAGGCAGCAGUGAGGAAUAUUGGUCAAUGGACGAGAGUCUGAACCAGCCAAGUAGCGUGAAGGAUGACUGCCCUAUGGGUUGUAAACUUCUUUUAUAUGGGAAUAAAAUGUUCCACGUGUGGGAUUUUGUAUGUACCAUAUGAAUAAGGAUCGGCUAACUCCGUGCCAGCAGCCGCGGUAAUACGGAGGAUCCGAGCGUUAUCCGGAUUUAUUGGGUUUAAAGGGAGCGUAGGUGGAUUGUUAAGUCAGUUGUGAAAGUUUGCGGCUCAACCGUAAAAUUGCAGUUGAAUCUGGCAGUCUUGAGUACAGUAGAGGUGGGCGGAAUUCGUGGUGUAGCGGUGAAAUGCUUAGAUAUCACGAAGAACUCCGAUUGCGAAGGCAGUUCACUGGACUGCAACUGACACUGAGGCUCGAAAGUGUGGGUAUCAAACAGGAUUAGAUACCCCAGUAGUC
rnacentral:rRNA from 1 species